CUUUAAGUGGGCUCCACAUAAUUGAACCAAUAGCAGAUGACAUUUUUAUAAUUGGCUGUGGUAAAACAGAUGAGCAAGCUGAGCAUGACCAUGAUGAGAAACUUGUAGCAUUAUUGGAUCGCUGCAGGCAGGUAAUGCUGAGACUCAGCAUAAAGAAAUUAGGGUACAAGAAGUCCGCUUCCAUGGACAUAUCCUGUCUCAACAAGGCUUGAAAGCUGAC